rnacentral:rRNA from 1 species
AUUGAACGCUGGCGGCAGGCCUAACACAUGCAAGUCGAACGGUAACAGGAAGCAGCUUGCUGCUUCGCUGACGAGUGGCGGACGGGUGAGUAAUGUCUGGGAAACUGCCUGAUGGAGGGGGAUAACUACUGGAAACGGUAGCUAAUACCGCAUAACGUCGCAAGACCAAAGAGGGGGACCUUAGGGCCUCUUGCCAUCGGAUGUGCCCAGAUGGGAUUAGCUAGUAGGUGGGGUAACGGCUCACCUAGGCGACGAUCCCUAGCUGGUGUGAGAGGAUGACCAGCCACACUGGAACUGAGACACGGUCCAGACUCCUACGGGAGGCAGCAGUGGGGAAUAUUGCACAAUGGGCGAAAGCCUGAUGCAGCCAUGCCGCGUGUAUGAAGAAGGCCUUCGGGUUGUAAAGUACUGUCAGCGGGGAGGAAGGGAGUAAAGUGAAGACGUUUGCGCAUUGACGGUACCUGCAGAAGAAGCACCGGCUAACUCCGUG